ensembl:lncRNA
CAAAGACACCUGGGGAGACUCUCCUUUCGUGUGAUGAGGCCAACAGCCUAGAGUACUGCACCACUAAUGCCUCUUGUCAACGGAAUGACAUAACUGAAAUAUACUGUGAUGGAUACCAGAGGCCUCAAGAGACGUAUUAUAGACCCCUGCCCAUCAGUCUGAUCGCGGGAGUUUCUGUUGGACUGCUACUGCUACUGCUGGCGAUAGUCAUUGCACUGGUGCUGAGAAAGAAGAAGCAAAGAAGACGCAUUACAGAUCUGCUGCAUGGGAGACAUGGCUUUUCGACGAAUACAUCAAACCUCGCAAGAGAUGACUUUCAGGAUUUAGAGCUCAGAGUGACAGAAGAGAGAGAUGUGGGCAUGAAGAAUCAAGCCAACGGUCAGGAGAAAGAGCUGGAUCAAGCCUCCUCCGAGUAUGAUGACGUGGAUGAGGAAGCAGCGUCCCUGCACACUUACCGAGAGGCCAGUGAGGCACCGGACCCCGGAGGCAACACCACUGACAACCCCCCUCCUCUUCCAGCCCGUGAUGGAGAGCUGGACGACGGCGAUGAUUACGAGGAAGGCUACGAUGAUGUGGCGGAACCGACGGCGGAAGAGGGAAUCGAGCACGGGGUGCCGUCCCAGUCCGAGGAGAGGGAGCUCUCUGUGGAGCCGGAUGCGGAGGACUACGUCCAGCCAGACGCCGAGGAGUGAGAGAGGCAGACCUUAGAGGUGACCUUUCGUAUUCUGGGGAAUGUAAACAUCAUGGCUCUCAGAUGGGUUUUUUAGCACACA